GAUGAACGCUGGCGGCGUGCCUAAUACAUGCAAGUCGAGCGAACAGACGAGGAGCUUGCUCCUCUGACGUUAGCGGCGGACGGGUGAGUAACACGUGGAUAACCUACCUAUAAGACUGGGAUAACUUCGGGAAACCGGAGCUAAUACCGGAUAAUAUAUUGAACCUCAUGGUUCAAUAGUGAAAGACGGUUUUGCUUUCACUUAUAGAUUGAUCCGCGCCACAUUUGCUAGUUUGUAAGGUAACGGCUUACAAAGGCAACGAUGCGUAGCCGACCUGAGAGGGGGAUCGGCCACAAGGGAACUGAGACACGGUAAAGACUCCUACGGGAGGCAGCAGUAGGGAAUCUUCCGCAAUGGGCGAAAGCCUGACGGAGCAACGCCGCGUGAGUGAUGAAGGUCUUCGGAUCGUAAAACUCUGUUAUUAGGGAAGAACAAAUGUGUAAGUAACUAUGCACGUCUUGACGGUACCUAAUCAGAAAGCCACGGCUAACUACGUG
rnacentral:rRNA from 1 species